UCCCCGAGCUUAACUUGGGAAUUGCAUUCGAUACUGGUUGGCUACAGUAUGGGAGAGGAUGGUAGAAUUCCAGGUGUAGCGGUAAAAUGCGUAGAGAUCUGGAGGAAUACCGAUGGCGAAGGCAGCCAUCUGGCCUAAUACUGACCCUGAGGUGCGAAAGCAUGGGGAGCAAACAGGAUUAGAUACCCUGGUAGUCCAUGCCGUAAACGAUGUCUACUAGCCGUUGGGGCCUUUGAGGCUUUAGUGGCGCAGCUAACGCGAUAAGUAGACCGCCUGGGGAGUACGGCCGCAAGACUAAAACUCAAAUGAAUUGACGGGGGCCCGCACAAGCGGUGGAGCAUGUGGUUUAAUUCGAUGCAACGCGAAGAACCUUACCUGGUCUUGACAUAGUAAGAACUUUCCAGAGAUGGAUUGGUGCCUUCGGGAACUUACAUACAGGUGCUGCAUGGCUGUCGUCAGCUCGUGCCGUGAGAUGUUGGGUUAAGUCCCGCAACCAGCGCAACCCUUUUCCUUAUUUCCCAGCGGGUUAAGCCGGGAACUUUAAGGAUACUGCCAGUGACAAACUGGAGGAAGGCGGGGACGACGUCAAGUCAUCAUGGCCCUUACAACCAGGGCUACACACGUGCUACAAUGGUCGGUACAAAGGGUUGCUACCUCGCGAGAGGAUGCUAAUCUCAAAAAGCCGAUCGUAGUCCGGAUUGGAGUCUGCAACUCGACUCCAUGAAGUCGGAAUCGCUAGUAAUCGCGAAUCAGAAUGCCGCGGUGAAUACGUUCCCGGGCCUUGUACACUCCCGCCCGU
rnacentral:rRNA from 1 species